GGGUGGAGCGCAGGAUCUUGGGCUGUUUCUCUGGCGCCCUGUGCUCCCUGGCCUGCAACUGUUGGAAUCGCUCCUGGUUGCGCAGCUCCCU
rnacentral:pre_miRNA from 1 species